rnacentral:rRNA from 1 species
AGCCGAAUUAAGGUGAACCGCGAAAGGCUCAUUAAAUCAGUUAUGGUUCCUUAGAUCGUACCACAUUUACUUGGAUAACUGUGGUAAUUCUAGAGCUAAUACAUGCAAACAGAGCUCCGACCGGAGACGGAAGGAGCGCUUUUAUUAGAUCAAAACCAAUCGGCGUCGGGUUCGCUCGUCGUCGUACCCACUGGUGAAUCUGAAUAACUUUCUGCUGAUCGCAUGGUCUCGCACCGGCGACGCAUCUUUCAAAUGUCUGCCUUAUCAACUGUCGAUGGUAGGUUCUGCGCCUACCAUGGUUGUAACGGGUAACGGGGAAUCAGGGUUCGAUUCCGGAGAGGGAGCCUGAGAAACGGCUACCACAUCCAAGGAAGGCAGCAGGCGCGCAAAUUACCCACUCCCGGCACGGGGAGGUAGUGACGAAAAAUAACGAUACGGGACUCAUCCGAGGCCCCGUAAUCGGAAUGAGUACAAUCUAAACCCUUUAACGAGGAUCAAUUGGAGGGCAAGUCUGGUGCCAGCAGCCGCGGUAAUUCCAAUUCCAAUAAAGCAUUUGAAAGUUGUUGCUUCAUUGAAGCUCAAAGAAAAAUCUGUGUCCCAAGGCGACGGUUCAUCGCACGCGGUGUUUAACUGGCGUGUCCGCGGGACGUCCUGCCGGUGGGCUUUACCCGCAAGGGUGGCCCAACUCAAUCCCACCGCGGUGCUCUUCACUGAGUGUCGAGGUGGGCCGGCACGUUUACUUUGAACAAAUUAGAGUGCUUAAAGCAGGCUAAAACUUCGCCUGAAUACCGUGUGCAUGGAAUAAUGGAAUAGGACCUCGGUUCUAUUUUGUUGGUUUUCGGAACCCCGAGGUAAUGAUUAAUAGGAACGGAUGGGGGCAUUCGUAUUGCGACGUUAGAGGUGAAAUUCUUGGAUCGUCGCAAGACGAACAGAAGCGAAAGCAUUUGCCAAAAACGUUUUCAUUGAUCAAGAACGAAAGUUAGAGUUUCGAAGGCGA